GUGGAACAACAAAAGAGAGCCUGCUGCAUUCUUUCUAAGCAAACAAAAAGCAUAAUUGGAAAAAAUCAUUUUUAUGUUCUCUUACGUUAGAUGGGACCACUGAGUGAAACAUCCACUGAUGAAUUACUCCUCUAAUCUGUAGAGGAAAAACAGCUACUGGCAAAUUAAAGAGUCCUGGAACAGAGCCAUGAGAACUAAAUGGCUAAAAAUGAAAACAGGCAAACAUUUGAAGAGUAUUCUACAGAACACAGAUCUUUCAACACCUCCCCCUUUUCCAUGGCUAAUUCAUUGUCAUGGAAACUGAAUUUAUCAAAAUGUUCUUGUUCACUCCUAGUGACCCAGUGAGUCGACUUACAGAGCUGGUGAAAGGUAACGCAGGCUGAAGCAAUUUUUACAAAUGAUAUGCAGCAGUUCAUAAAUCGCAUUUUCCUUUGCUGAUCUGUAGCCCAAGCAUGCAAAAAUCCUUCAUCGCAAACAUCUUUCCUUAUCUGUUGCUGAAGGAAUGACCUGAGGAGGAAAACAAAACAACAAACAACAAAAACAAACAAACAGGAAAUGAUCACUGGUGAACUUUGGAAAUGACACAGUAAUUGAAGGAAGACAGACAAGUAGUAGUGAAGAAAAAGGAUUACUGCCACUGCACUAUUCAAUCUGUCAAGGCAGAUUGCACCAGCAAAUAAAAUGUAUUUUAUUAUGGCUCAAGAAAAAGACAGUCGACACUGUGAUUCCUGGAGAGACCGGAGAGGGGAAGAAACUGAGCUGGAUCCCAGAGGAAGACACAAGUCAUCCUUCAUCCCUGCAUGAAGACGGAAAUCAGGGAAGGCAAAAAGUUAGUGAGGGGAAGAGACAACAGACAGAAUGGAGCAGUGAGACCCACCUAAUACAAUUUGUGACUACACUUGGAAAUGAGAUGAGGUUUUGGAACUAAUUUCCUACAGUCUAACUUGCAUGUGAAAUCUGAAGUAAGGGUUAGUGCACACUCUAGCAAGAAUUUACAUGUAUGUAAAAAAAAAAUCAGCACACCUUUGCACAGUUACCACAAUGAAUGAGUACUAACAACAUCCUUCCUUGGCUAAAAGCUGGUGUCACAUUUUGAGGAUACAAUUGGAAGAAAUGGACAUAAGUAGCGAGUACUGUCUUUCACUGCUGCUCUGCUCCUGUGAUCUAUAAAUAAAGAGAACUUUAACCUUUUGUAAGCUCA
rnacentral:lncRNA from 1 species